UACGUAGGCAGCGAGCGUUGUUCGGAGUUACUGGGCGUAAAGGGUGUGUAGGUGGCGCGCUAAGUCGGGUGUGAAAUUUCGGAGCUUAACUCCGAAACUGCAUUCGAUACUGGCGUGCUUGAGGACUGGAGAGGAGACUGGAAUUCAUGGUGUAGCGGUGAAAUGCGUAGAGAUCAUGAGGAAGACCAGUGGCGAAGGCGGGUCUCUGGACAGUUCCUGACACUGAGACACGAAGGCCAGGGGAGCAAACGGG
rnacentral:rRNA from 1 species